AUACGGAGGGUGCAAGCGUCACUCGGAAUCACUGGGCGUAAAGCGCGCGCAGGCGGCUAUUUAAGUUGGAUGUGAAAGCCUACGGCUCAACCGUAGAACUGCAUCCAAAACUAUUUAGCUAGAGUGUGGGAGAGGAAGAUGGAAUUAGUUGUGUAGGGGUAAAAUCCGUAGAGAUAACUAGGAAUACCAAAAGCGAAGGCAAUCUUCUGGAACACUACUGACGCUGAGGCGCGAAAGCGUGGGGAGCAAACAGGAUUAGAAACCCUAGUAGUCC
rnacentral:rRNA from 1 species